rnacentral:rRNA from 1 species
UGGGGAAUAUUGGACAAUGGGGGCAACCCUGAUCCAGCAAUGCCGCGUGUGUGAAGAAGGUCUUCGGAUUGUAAAGCACUUUCGACGGGGACGAUGAUGACGGUACCCGUAGAAGAAGCCCCGGCUAACUUCGUGCCAGCAGCCGCGGUAAUACGAAGGGGGCUAGCGUUGCUCGGAAUGACUGGGCGUAAAGGGCGUGUAGGCGGUUUACACAGUCAGAUGUGAAAUCCCCGGGCUUAACCUGGGAGCUGCAUUUGAUACGUGUAGACUAGAGUGUGAGAGAGGGUUGUGGAAUUCCCAGUGUAGAGGUGAAAUUCGUAGAUAUUGGGAAGAACACCGGUGGCGAAGGCGGCAACCUGGCUCAUGACUGACGCUGAGGCGCGAAAGCGUGGGGAGCAAACAGGUUAGAUACCCUGGUAGUCCACGCCUGUAAACGAUGUGUGCUAGAUGUUGGGUAACUUU